AUUGAACGCUGGCGGAAUGCUUAACACAUGCAAGUCGAGCGGGCUGUAGCAAUACAGCUAGCGGCGGACGGGUGAGGAACACAUAGGAAUCUGCCUCGAAGUGGGGGAUAGCCCGGGGAAACCCGGAUUAAUACCGCAUGAUGUCGCAAGACCAAAGCAGGGGACCGUAAGGCCUUGCACUUUGAGAUGAGCCUAUGUCGGAUUAGCUAGUUGGCGGGGUAAAGGCCCACCAAGGCGACGAUCCGUAGCUGGUCUGAGAGGACGAUCAGCCACACCGGAACUGAGACACGGUCCGGACUCCUACGGGAGGCAGCAGUGGGGAAUAUUGGACAAUGGGCGCAAGCCUGAUCCAGCAAUUCCGCGUGUGUGAAGAAGGCCU
rnacentral:rRNA from 1 species